UGGGAGGGACUGGGGGGUGCUGGGAGGGCACUGGGGGGUUACUGGGAGGGACUGGGAGGUACUGGGAGGGAACUGGGAGCACUGGGGCUGCCCCUCCCCCAAGGAGCCGGGGCUGCGGCACCGGGAGCUUUAUUGGGGACGGGGGAGGGGACAGGUGUGACACGGGUGUGGCACGGGUGUGGCACGGGUGUGACACGGGUGUGGCACAGGUGUGACACGGGUGUGGCACAGAUGAGGGGACAGGUGAGGGCCAGCACGGUGCCAGGUGCCGGUGCCACGGGGCAGGGGUGACACGGGUGACACCAGUGCCAGGGGCAGGUGCCACAGGUGUGCCACAGGUGUGUCCCAGGUGUGCCACAGGUGUGUCACAGGUGUCCCAGGUGUCCCAGGUGUCCCUCAGGUGGCCACCGGGGGCAGCCCCACCUGAGCCGUCAGCAGAGGCCCCUCCCGGCCCGGGCACAGCACCAGCACCUGGGGGGGGGAGGGCACCUGGUGACACCCCUGGGUGUGCCUGACCCCCCAGGUGUCCCAGGUGUGUCCCAGGUGUGUCUGACCCCCCCCCAGCUGUCCCCAGGUGUGUCCCCAGGUGUGCCUGACCCCCCAGGUGUGUCCCAGCUGUCCCCAGCUGUCCCAGGUGUGUCCCAGGUGUGUCCCAGGUGUCCCAGGUGUGUCCCAGGUGUCCCCAGGUGUCCCAGGUGUGUCCCCAGGUGUCCCAGGUGUCCCCCAGGUGUGUCCCAGCUGUCCCCAGGUGUCCCCAGGUGUCCUAGGUGUGCCCCAGGUGUGUCCCAGGUGUGUCCCAGGUGUGUCCCCAGGUGUCCCAGGUGUGUCCCAGGUGUGUCCCAGGUGUGUCCCAGCUGUCCCCAGGUGUCCCAGCUGUCCCAGGUGUGUCCCAGGUGUCCCCAGCUGUCCCAGGUGUGUCCCAGGUGUGUCCCAGCUGUCCCAGGUGUCCCCAGCUGUCCCCAGCUGUCCCCAGGUGUGUCCCAGGUGUCCCAGGUGUGUCCCAGGUGUCCCAGGUGUCCCAGGUGUCCCCAGAUGUGUCCCAGGUGUCCCCAGCUGUCCCCAGCUGUCCCCAGCUGUCCCAGGUGUCCCAGGUGUGUCCCAGCUGUCCCCAGGUGUGUCCCAGGUGUUCCCAGGUGUGUCCCAGCUGUCCCAGGUGUGUCCCAGGUGUCCCAGCUGUCCCCAGCUGUCCCAGGUGUGUCCCAGCUGUCCCAGGUGUGUCCCAGCUGUCCCAGGUGUCCCAGGUGUGAUCCAGGUGUGUCCCCUCACCUGCAGCCGGGCCGGGCCCUGCCCGGGUUCCAGCCAGGUCCCGAGGCAGCAGCGCAGCCCCGGCAGCAGCAGCGGCACCUGGGGGGGCAGAAAUUGGGGAUUUGGGGGAUUUGGGGCAUUUUGGGGGCUUUGGGGCAUUCUGGGGGGUUUGGGGCAUUUUGGGGGGUUUGGGGAAUUUUUUAGGUUAUUUUGGGGGUAUUUGGGGGGAUUUUGGGGUAUUUUGGGUUAUUUUUGCAGGGAUUUUUGCGGGGAUUUUGGGGUAUUUUGGGUUAUUUUUGGAGGGAUUUUUGGGGGGAUUUUGGGGUAUUUCGGGUUAUUUUUGCAGGGAUUUUUGGGGGGAUUUUGGGGUAUUUUGGGGGGAUUUUGGGGUAUUUUUGGAGGGAUUUUGGGGCAUUCUGGGGGGUUUGGAGCAUUUCUUAAGAUUGUUUUGGGAUGAUUUGGGGGGAUUUUGGGGUUAUUUGGGGUAUGUCGGGGUAAUUUUGGGUGGUUUUAGGGUAUUUUGGGGUGGUUUCAGGGUAUUUUUGGGGGUUUUUGGGGUACCUUGAGGCAGGGGGGCUGAGGCCGUUUUGGGGUGGUUUUGGGGGUAUUUUUGGGUGGUUUCAGGGUAUUUUUGGGUUUUUUGGGGUACCUUGAGGCAGGGGGGCUGCAGCCGUUUUGGGGGGAUUUUGGGUGUAUUUUUGGGUGGUUUUGGGGGUAUUUUUGGGUGGUUUCAGGGUAUUUUUGGGUGGUUUUAGGGUAUUUUUGGGUGGUUUCAGGGUAUUUUUGGGUGGUUUUAGGGUAUUUUUGGGUGGUUUCAGGGUAUUUUUGGGUGGUUUCAGGGUAUUUUUGGGGGUUUUUGGGUGUAUUUUUGGGUGGUUUCAGGGUAUUUUUGGGGGUUUUUGGGGUACCUUGAGGCAGGGGGGCUGCAGCCGUUUUGGGGGGGGGUGGCAGCGCAGCAGCAGCACCAGGUUGGGGGUCGGGGGGGCCCCCCCGGGCAGCAGCACCCCCAAAGUCAGGCGCAGGCGGGGCCCCAGCCCCUGCACCUGGGGGGAGAAAACUGGGGGGUCAGGGACCCCAAAAACCCUCCCGGGGACCCCAAAAUCCCCCCGAGAAAUCCCAAAAAUCCCCCCAGAAAUCCCAAAACCCUCCCAGGGACCCCAAAACCCUCCCAGGGACCCCAAAACCCUUCCGGGGACCCCAAAAA
rnacentral:lncRNA from 1 species